AGAGUUUGAUCCUGGCUCAGGACGAACGCUGGCGGCGUGCUUAAUACAUGCAAGUCGAGCGAAUGUAUAUGUGAGGGUAACCUUAUAUAUACAUGAGCGGCGGACGGGUGAGUAACGCGUGGGCAAUCUGCCCUCUAGCCUGGGAUAACAGUUCGAAAGGACUGCUAACACCGGAUAAUGUUAUUUCGCGGCAUCGUGAG
rnacentral:rRNA from 1 species